rnacentral:rRNA from 1 species
UACGUAGGGUCCAAGCGUUAUCCGGAAUCACUGGGCGUAAAGCGUGCGUAGGCGGGAGUUUAAGUGCAAUGCGAAAUCUUGUGGCUCAACCAUAUAGACUGUAUUGCAUACUGGACACCUAGAGGACGGCAGAGGCAAGUGGAAUUACUGGUGUAGCAGUGAAAUGCGUAGAUAUCAGUAGGAACACCAGUGGCGAAGGCGGCUUCCUGGCCUGUAACUGACGCUGAGACGCGAAAGCGUGGGGAGCGAACCGG